GAUGAACGCUGGCGGCGUGCCUAAUACAUGCAAGUCGAGCGAACGGACGAGAAGCUUGCUUCUCUGAUGUUAGCGGCGGACGGGUGAGUAACACGUGGAUAACCUACCUAUAAGACUGGGAUAACUUCGGGAAACCGGAGCUAAUACCGGAUAAUAUUUUGAACCGCAUGGUUCAAAAGUGAAAGACGGUCUUGCUGUCACUUAUAGAUGGAUCCGCGCUGCAUUAGCUAGUUGGUAAGGUAAUGGCUUACCAAGGCAACGAUGCAUAGCCGACCUGAGAGGGUGAUCGGCCACACUGGAACUGAGACACGGUCCAGACUCCUACGGGAGGCAGCAGUAGGGAAUCUUCCGCAAAGGGCGAAAGCCUGACGGAGCAACGCCGCGUGAGUGAUGAAGGUCUUCGGAUCGUAAAACUCUGUUAUUAGGGAAGAACAUAUGUGUAAGUAACUGUGCACAUCUUGACGGUACCUAAUCAGAAAGCCACGGCUAACUACGUG
rnacentral:rRNA from 1 species